rnacentral:rRNA from 1 species
AGCGAACGCUGGCGGCAGGCCUAACACAUGCAAGUCGAACGAACUCUUCGGAGUUAGUGGCGGACGGGUGAGUAACACGUGGGAACGUGCCUUUUGGUUCGGAAUAACUCAGGGAAACUUGUACUAAUACCGAAUGUGCCCUUCGGGGGAAAGAUUUAUCGCCAUUAGGGCGGCCCGCGUCUGAUUAGCUAGUUGGUGAG